rfam:Candidatus Glassbacteria bacterium RIFCSPLOWO2_12_FTLL_58_11 rifcsplowo2_12_scaffold_4504, whole genome shotgun sequence.
GAGCCGUUAGCUCAGUAGGUAGAGCAGCUGCCUUUUAAGCAGCGGGUCGUGGGUUCGAUUCCCGCACGGCUCA